AUGUGAACGUUACCAAACUGUUGCCUCGGCGGGGUCACGCCCCGGGUGCGUAAAAGCCCCGGAACCAGGCGCCCGCCGGAGGAACCAACCAAACUCUUUCUGUAGUCCCCUCGCGGACGUAUUUCUUACAGCUCUGAGCAAAAAUUCAAAAUGAAUCAAAACUUUCAACAACGGAUCUCUUGGUUCUGGCAUCGAUGAAGAACGCAGCGAAAUGCGAUAAGUAAUGUGAAUUGCAGAAUUCAGUGAAUCAUCGAAUCUUUGAACGCACAUUGCGCCCGCCAGUAUUCUGGCGGGCAUGCCUGUCCGAGCGUCAUUUCAACCCUCGAACCCCUCCGGGGGAUCGGCGUUGGGGAUCGGGACCCCUCACCGGGUGCCGGCCCUGAAAUACAGUGGCGGUCUCGCCGCAGCCUCUCCUGCGCAGUAGUUUGCACAACUCGCACCGGGAGCGCGGCGCGUCCACGUCCGUAAAACACCCAACUUCUGAAAUGUUGACCUCGGAUCAGGUAGGAAUACCCGCUGAACUUAAGCAUAUCAAUAAGCGGAGGGAAACC
rnacentral:rRNA from 1 species